rnacentral:tRNA from 1 species
CAUUAUGAAGCUAAUUAGCGUUAACCUUUUAAGUUAAAGAUUGGGAAUAUUAAGCCCCAUAAUGA